rnacentral:rRNA from 1 species
UUUAUGGAGAGUUUGAUCCUGGCUCAGGAUGAACGCUGGCGGCGUGCCUAAUACAUGCAAGUCGAGCGAACGGACGAGAAGCUUGCUUCUCUGAUGUUAGCGGCGGACGGGUGAGUAACACGUGGAUAACCUACCUAUAAGACUGGGAUAACUUCGGGAAACCGGAGCUAAUACCGGAUAAUAUUUUGAACCGCAUGGUUCAAAAGUAAAAGACGGUCUUGCUGUCACUUAUAGAUGGAUCCGCGCUGCAUUAGCUAGUUGGUAAGGUAACGGCUUAC